rnacentral:sRNA from 1 species
GGGCGCCAUUUUUGAUAGAUUGACAUCAUUCCGGGGCGCUUUCAUUCACUUGUCACUUGCACACAGUUUCAGUUUCACAUUCAGUUUCGGUUUCAGUUUGGGAAACAUUAGUUUUUUAUGGUCGCCACUCGGAGCAGAAUCAUCAGAGCCAUUGACGGACGUCCCGGCACAAUAAACUGACAAAUCAAAAUCAAAAACAAACCAAAUUAGCCAGUCGUAAAAGCAGAAUGGCAACUGUUGAUAGAUCAUUCGAAAUAAAAACAGCGCGCUCCGCAGUCCGCAAGUUUCAGUUUUUAGCGCUGCGCCUUGUGUGGGGCAAUUAAUAGUACUGGCGCGGCAGUUGUCUGGCCGUCGCUCGCUUCGACGGAUUAACGGGGUAUUAAUGUUGUUUGAUGGGCUUUUCGCUUUUAUUUGCCUUGCUAUCAAUUAGCUGAAGAACUCCAGCUCCAGCUCAAGACAAAGCGCCAGAUAAAAGGGAACCAGAACACUCACUGGCUUCAUUGGCGCACUGCCUAUGAGUAAUGCCCUCCCCCAGACCGAUUACCAGCUGCCGAACCGUUUAAGUCACUUUCUUUGAUGCCCGGCCUCAUCAUAAUUCCGGCAAGUCGCUCGCCCAGACGCACAACCCACAUAAAUCCAGAGGUCGCACCCGCAACUCCAGUUGUUGUCCUCCUGAAUUAUGCAUGCAACAAAUUGUAUAAAAAUUUCUGCAACUUUACGUUGCGACGUGAAGAAAUUUGGGAAUCAAGCCGAGCGCAAAAGACCCUCUGAAGUUAGAGGCAUACUUCUCGGGGGUGGUGGAGCAGGAGGGCGGAUGAAAGGACCAAAGCACUAACAGGACUCCCUGUCCCUGGUCGCUGGUAUUUGGGCUUAGCCCAAGUCAACCCCCAAAGGAUGUGCGGGAAUAUUUAUUUUUGUUUUCCCAGUCCCAGCUCCCAGACGGUCUCUCAACGUUUACAAACGAAAUGGCGCGUGCUCUUCUCAGGUGCCGGAUCCAUUUCCCGAUCAUUGCGAGGGAAAACGAAACCGAAACCUAAACCGAUAACGAAAACGAAAAGGAAAAGGAAAACAAGUUUAAGUGCGUCAAAAUUGUCAAAAGAAAUUCCUUAAAUGACUUUGUCAAGUCGUUAAAUUGGUGUCGCUUUUUUGUCUCGUUUGGCUUUAAUCACCGCAUUGGCUGUCAUGUCCGAGCUGAAUGGCAAUUAAAUGGUCUACGAAUCGUUAAA